UCUUCUCCAACAUUUAUCCAUUUUCCUGUUUUGUCAUUUUGGCUAUUAUUACUAAUAUAAUUAUAAGAGGGGCUGAAUCUAAAGAAGAAGAAAACUGCCAAUUAAGAGAAAUAUUACAGUCUUGUUUACUAUGUCUCAGUUUUCCCAUCAUAAAAAAAUGAUCCCUAAUAUCUGUUUUCACAGUAAGGUUGGGAAACAUGAAAUCAUAUGAUCACUUAUUUAGAGCUGGAAGAGACCCCAGAAAGACUGAAAGCUCUAUUACAAAAUACACAAACCACAAUGCAUAAAGCAUACCUAAUGGCAAAGUUCAAAGACCGUAGCCUGAGGUCCUAGUCCCACUAUUUGGCUACUUCCCAGAAACUCCGAAGAGUUAGAUAAAUUAGACAAAUCACUUCUCUUCUUCACUUCUAUGAGGCAUCAAGACAUCUUUGACAGAAUGUGUCAAAGCUGAUUACUCACUUAGUGUGGUCAUUCUUUCAAUUAGUAUAAACUGAAUUCCUACUAUGUGCACAUAGGAUUUUGCUGGUCACUGUAAGAUGGGGGUAGGGGAGAGAAAAGAGAUAAAACUGUAAACUCUUUAAAGGCAAAAACUGGUUUUAUAAUCUCAUGGUGACAAGACACAUAUACACACAAGAAUAAGUAAACAAUAGCAGGCAAAGAGUGUACUUCAGAGGAGUGGGGGUGGGGAAAAUGUGUUAAGUGAUCCCUCUCCGGUAGAGACUCCCGACCCAGAUGCCCUGGGAUUCGACCCAGCUCUCAGAAUGAUCUAAAUGGUCCACCUUUGUGUCCAACUCUUUUCAUUCUCAAUGACCAGGCCAGUCCAAGAAAUAGACAUGAGGCAAGAUGGAUAUAAAGCACUUGUCACAGACCUCUUGGUAAGGAUGAGAGGGAACUUUACAAGGUGGCCAGUGUCCUGUCUUGUUGCACUGUACCCAAGCAAUCAGACCCCAGUAACAGAUUACCUCCCAAUAAAACUUUCAUGCCACACAGACCAGGGGGGAUCAAAUCCAACAGAAGCUGGGGACAGGUUUUCAGUUACACUUCGCCCUCACUGGGAUUACCUCACAGUUUCUUUUCAUCCAACCAUACUACCUCUUCAUCUCGAACCCUCUAACAAGUCCAGUGAAAAGGGAAAAGGCAGGUGUGUGAAGCAACAUCGUCCUGGAUACUUGGGGAAUGAGGCUCAUUCCCAACCUUGAGCUGCUUACUUUCCUAAUCAAAUGGCCCAUUUUAAAAGGGAACUUCCUCCCCCUCCCCCUCCCUCAAACGGUUGGCUUAUAAAGCAAAGGCACCAUUUUCUGUUCCAGGAAUCCUAGUCCUUCCAAAGGGAAGGAAUGGGAUUGGAAGAUGCAAACCCGGGGCCGGCUCUAAGAUGCUCCCUCCUUUCGGCUCCAGUGAAGGCCGCCCCCGCUUAGCCUGGGGGAGGGAGUACCUACCUCCCUCCUGCGAGCAGGCGGAGAACCUCCUCCCUUCUUCUUCUCCUCUUCCUCCUCCUCCCCCAACACACACCUCCAGCUGCCCUCUCCCCCCCACAAGUGUUCCCAGGGAACCCAAGAGAAGCUACUCGCCGCCCCGAACCCCCGCCGCAGCUGCGCUCCUGCCCUCCCCCGCCCCCCACCUGCCCCAGCCUCGGGAGGGUGGGGUGUCACCCAGGCGAGGGGGGGAGGGCAGAGACGCUCCCUCGCCUCCCGGUAGCCCCUUCCCAGGACACUCUCCCUUUCUGGAUCUCCCCCCGCCCCUCGUCCCUGCCCCCAACCCACCUGGGGGGAGGGGAGAGGAAAGGAGGGAUCGAGCACUGCCGGAUACCAGCCUCCAGUCCCUGGGCCCCUCGGAAUGACAGGAGGGGAGCGAGCCUGCGUCCGUCGGUCUGUCCAUCCAAUCUCAGGUGAGAAGAGGAGCAACCUUCCCUGUGACUCUGGAUCUUCCAUCUCCUGCUGAACCUGUCCCCUGAGGGAAGAGGAAGAGGAAAAAAAGUAGGGAACAGGGCUUCUAUUUCCUGCCACAAAAGUUUGACUUCCAUCUCCCACUGCAAUGUCCCCUGACUGAUUUCCAGCCUUCGGAGAAAAGUGAAAAAUAGCUUUCCAUCUCAUGGUUGUGGUUUGGGGUUUCAGUCUGCCCGGGAGUGUGUCUGAGAAAAGCAGAGAGAGCUAGAAAGAAAGGGAGAGGAAUCUGAAAAAAGGAAGAUAAGAAAGAGGCUAUGAUGUGCUUCCUGUGAUUGACUGUGGGGUAAUGAUAUGGGUUCCUAUCAUAAGCUAGGAACCAUGCCACUGAGGUUGGAAGAGGAAUCAUCCUGAAAAAAGACAUUUACCCACUCAGUGACCCGGCAUUCAUCACAGAGAACAUAACAGCACCAAUGGAAACGGCAGUGGCAUCGCUCAACACGGGUCU